rnacentral:rRNA from 1 species
GACGAACGCUGGCGGCGUGCUUAACACAUGCGAGUCGAACGGAAAGGCCCUGCUUUUGUGGGGUGCUCGAGUGGCGAACGGGUGAGUAACACGUGAGUAACCUGCCCUUGACUUUGGGAUAACUUCAGGAAACUGGGGCUAAUACCGGAUAGGAGCUCCUGCUGCAUGGUGGGGGUUGGAAAGUUUCGGCGGUUGGGGAUGGACUCGCGGCUUAUCAGCUUGUUGGUGGGGUAGUGGCUUACCAAGGCUUUGACGGGUAGCCGGCCUGGGAGGGUUACCGGCCACAUUGGGACUGAGAUAGGCCCCAGACUCCUACGGGAGGCAGCAGUGGGGAAUAUUGCACAAUAGGCGGAAGCCUGAUGCAGCAACGCCGCGUGCGGGAUGACGGCCUUCGGGUUGUAAACCGCUUUCGCAUGUGACGAAGCGUGAGUGACGGUAAUGAGUAAAGAAGCACCGGCUAACUACGUG